rnacentral:tRNA from 1 species
GGGGUUGUAGCUCAAUGGUAGAGUGCUUGCCUAGCAUGCAUGAGGCACUGGGUUUGAUCCUCAGCACCACA